UACAGAGGGUGCGAGCGUUGUCCGGAAUCACUGGGCGUAAAGGGCGCGUAGGCGGUUGGGUAAGCGUGUGGUGAAAGCUCGGGGCUCAACCCCGAGUCGGCCGUGCGAACUGCUCGACCGGAGCAUGUCAGAGGCAGGCGGAAUUCCGGGUGUAGCGGUGGAAUGCGUAGAGAUCCGGAAGAACACCGGUGGCGAAGGCGGCCUGCUGGGCAUGGCUGACGCUGAGGCGCGACAGCGUGGGGAGCAAACAGG
rnacentral:rRNA from 1 species